rnacentral:lncRNA from 1 species
CCUGAUGUUCAUGCAAGGUGACAGAAAGGGAGUGAGGUUCAUUUCAGCUUACCUUUCAGUUUAGAAGAGCUGCCUCUCACCGUGCACAUCACUGUGAUGGGUAGGAUACCCCUCUUUCUCCUGUUAACUAGUUAAUUCAAGCAGACAUCACUGGCAGAAGGCAAUCUGCUCAGCUGCUUUGCUGUGCAGAAGGUAAGAGUUGCCCUGGUGCAAAAGAUCAAUAUUUAGAAACCAAUCUUUGCUGGGCACAGCUCAGUAGACCUUUUAUUAUAGCAGGUUAGUGUAUGGCAGCAAGCAGAGAGCUCCAAGAACAAUCUCCACAUUGUGCUGGAUUUUUUUGUAUGGUAAGUCAGCCUGGGGAAAGUCCAGUUACCGCCUUGUGAGCAGAAGGGAGUCUGUAACAUCACAACAGGGUCAGGUCUUUCUUCAGAGGCAUUCAGGAACCAGUCCUUUAAUAAUUGUUUUUUAUACAACAUGUAAUGAUGAAGAAGAAAUAAAGAAUAAAGAAGAGGAAGACAGCUGAAGGCUGUGAAGGAGUUUUCACAGGUCUCACAGACAAAUGUUUGUUAGAACCAAAUUUUACUGCGAAGUUACCUGAGCCUUAAAUACAACAAAUACUUUGGCAAAGGAAAAACAGAAGAAAAUACAAUGAGAUCUUUCUAAAAUUAAUGGCAUUUAUUGAUUAGACCACUGUUUUGUUAUGUUAUAUUUGUUAUGUGAGAGAGAUGUAUUAAUUCCAACGUGCCUACCGUUCCUUAAUGCAUUUGCUUACUACGUGGAGAAAUGCAAAUAAAGCUGAAGCAAGUUUGCA